GAACCCUGUAGAGAUACGGGGGUGCCUUCGGGAACUGUGAGACAGGUGCUGCAUGGCUGUCGUCAGCUCGUGUUGUGAAAUGUUGGGUUAAGUCCCGCAACGAGCGCAACCCUUAUCCUUUGUUGCCAGCGGUCCGGCCGGGAACUCAAAGGAGACUGCCAGUGAUAAACUGGAGGAAGGUGGGGAUGACGUCAAGUCAUCAUGGCCCUUACGACCAGGGCUACACACGUGCUACAAUGGCGCAUACAAAGAGAAGCGACCUCGCGAGAGCAAGCGGACCUCAUAAAGUGCGUCGUAGUCCGGACUGGAGUCUGCAACUCGACUCCAUGAAGUCGGAAUCGCUAGUAAUCGUGGAUCAGAAUGCCACGGUGAAUACGUUCCCGGGCCUUGUACACACCGCCCGUCACACCAUGGGAGUGGGUUGCAAAAGAAGUAGGUAGCUUAACCUUCGGGAGGGCGCUUACCACUUUGUGAUUCAUGACUGGGGUGAAGUCGUAACAAGGUAACCGUAGGGGAACCUGCGGUUGGA
rnacentral:rRNA from 1 species